rnacentral:rRNA from 1 species
CGGGGAAUUUUGGACAAUGGGGGAAACCCUGAUCCAGCCAUCCCGCGUGUGCGAUGAAGGCCUUCGGGUUGUAAAGCACUUUUGGCAGGAAAGAAACGUCAUGGGUUAAUACCCCGUGAAACUGACGGUACCUGCAGAAUAAGCACCGGCUAACUACGUGCCAGCAGCCGCGGUAAUACGUAGGGUGCAAGCGUUAAUCGGAAUUACUGGGCGUAAAGCGUGCGCAGGCGGUUCGGAAAGAAAGAUGUGAAAUCCCAGAGCUCAACUUUGGAACUGCAUUUUUAACUACCGGGCUAGAGUGUGUCAGAGGGAGGUGGAAUUCCGCGUGUAGCAGUGAAAUGCGUAGAUAUGCGGAGGAACACCGAUGGCGAAGGCAGCCUCCUGGGAUAACACAGACGCUCAUGCACGAAAGCGUGGGGAGCAAACAGG